rnacentral:rRNA from 1 species
GACAGAGUAGCCAAGCGUUGUCCGGAUUGACUGGGCGUAAAGCGUCCGCAGGCGGCUGGGCACGUGGGGUGUGAAACCGCUCGGCUUAACCGAGCGCCGCCACCUCAUACGGCCCGGCUCGAGCGCGGGAGAGGUCUGUGGAAUUGCCGGUGUAGUGGUGAAAUGCGUAGAGAUCGGCAGGAACACCAAGGGCGAAAGCAGCAGACUGGCCCGUGGCUGACGCUCAGGGACGAAAGCGUGGGGAGCGAACUGG